rnacentral:rRNA from 1 species
UACGUAGGGGGCUAGCGUUGUCCGGAAUCAUUGGGCGUAAAGAGCGUGUAGGCGGUCCGGUAAGUCCGCUGUGAAAGUCGGGGGCUCAACCCUCGAAUGCCGGUGGAUACUGUCGGGCUAGAGUGCGGAAGAGGCGAGUGGAAUUCCUGGUGUAGCGGUGAAAUGACGUAGAUAUCGGGAGGAACGCCAGUGGCGAAGGCGGUCACCUGGGCCGUCCUGACGCUGAGGCGCGAAAGCGUGGGGAGCGAACAGG